AUUGAACGCUGGCGGCAGGCCUAACACAUGCAAGUCGAACGGUAACAGGAAGCAGCUUGCUGCUUUGCUGACGAGUGGCGGACGGGUGAGUAAUGUCUGGGAAACUGCCUGAUGGAGGGGGAUAACUACUGGAAACGGUAGCUAAUACCGCAUAACGUCGCAAGACCAAAGAGGGGGACCUUCGGGCCUCUUGCCAUCGGAUGUGCCCAGAUGGGAUUAGCUAGUAGGUGGGGUAACGGCUCACCUAGGCGACGAUCCCUAGCUGGUCUGAGAGGAUGACCAGCCACACUGGAGCUGAGACACGGUCCAGACUCCUACGGGAGGCAGCAGUGGGGAAUAUUGCACAAUGGGCGCAAGCCUGAUGCAGCCAUGCCGCGUGUAUGAAGAAGGCCUUCGGGUUGUAAAGUACUUUCAGCGGGGAGGAAGGGAGUAAAGUUAAUACCUUUGCUCAUUGACGUUACCCGCAGAAGAAGCACCGGCUAACUCCGUG
rnacentral:rRNA from 1 species